UACGUAGGGCGCAAGCGUUGUCCGGAAUUAUUGGGCGUAAAGAGCUCGUAGGCGGCUUGUCACGUCGGGUGUGAAAGCCCGGGGCUUAACCCCGGGUCUGCAUUCGAUACGGGCAGGCUAGAGUGUGGUAGGGGAGAUCGGAAUUCCUGGUGUAGCGGUGAAAUGCGCAGAUAUCAGGAGGAACACCGGUGGCGAAGGCGGAUCUCUGGGCCGAUACUGACGCUGAGGAGCGAAAGCGUGGGGAGCAAACAGG
rnacentral:rRNA from 1 species